CCAAAUGGUAGGCGUUACGCAGGUCCAAUUUGGUGAAGACUGCUGACUCCUGGAGCAGGUCGAAGGCAGUGUUCAUCAGGGGCAAGGGGUAUUUGUUCCUCACGGUGAUGUUAUUCAGCCCUCUGUAGUCUAUGCAAGGCCUAAGGCCUCCAUCCUUCUUGCCUACGAAAAAGAACCCUGCGCCCAGGGGGGAUGAGGAGGGACGGAUGAGCCCGGCUUCCAGGGAUUCCCGGAUGUAUUUUUCCUGCGCCUCCCUUUCAGCCUUGGAAAUGCUGUACAGACGGCCUCGAGGGUAGGUGACGCCGGGCAAUAGUUCAAUUGCGCAGUCAUAGGGUCGGUGAGGAGGAAGAGAGAGAGCCUGUUGUUUGCUGAAUACUUCGCUCAAAUCGUGGUACUCUGCGGGAACUCGGGACAGAUCUGGGGGCUGUGCAUCUUUCCCCGGCGGGCGCUUUGACGGGGGACAAGCCGACCGGAGGCAUUCGGAGUAACACGCCGUGCCCCAGGCGGUCACCUUUCCUGCCCUCCAAUCGAUGGUUGGGUUGUGGCGUACUAACCAGGUGUGCCCCAGAAUCAAGGGGAUCCGGGGGGAGUGGAUGACGAGGAACCCGAUGUCCUCAAGAUGGUUGCCGGAUAAACGGAGACGCACGGGCCUGGUCCUGUGCGUAACCCGUGCCAAUAACCGGCCAUCCAAGGUGGUUGCGUCAACGACCUCCUCCAAACGGACAGUCGAUAGCCCCAGCUGUUCCACCAAUGUGGCGUCGAUGAAGCUGUCGUCAGCACCGGAAUCAAUCAGGGCCUGGUAUUGGCACGUGUGGCCACCGACGGGUAAGGGUUGCGUGGAAGAGUGUGCGUGGUUUGUGGCCUGGGAGGUCGUUGUUCGUGUGGCUCGCUAGGACGCCUCCUAUGUCUAGCGAGCCCGUCGGUUUGACGGCCGCUGGGGGCAGGAGGCGAGGUAAUGACCCGAACGACCGCAGUAUAGACAGCUGUUGCUGUCCCUCCGUCGCUGUUGUUCUUCCUUGUCUAUGUGGUAGCGCCCCAACUGCAUCGGUUCGGGUUCCGCCGGUGUCGCCUCCCUUUCCAUGCCCGGCACUGCUGGUGGGCCGUUACGCCUCUCCUCUUCGGGGUGUCUGGAGAGUGGUUGCAGGGGACGGCCGCCCCGCUUUCUUUCUCUCCUCCGUUCCCUGAUCCGAUUGUCCACCCGCAUGGCCAGGGAAAUAGUGUCAUCCAAUCCCAUGGUCUCGGGAUAUGAGAGGAGUUCGUCCUUAAGUUGUUCACUGAGGCCGUUGUAGAACCCAGCUUGCAGUGCUUCUCCAUUCCAUCCGCUCUCCUCAGCCAGUGUACGGAAUUAAACUGCAUACUCCGCCACGCUGCGGACCCCCUGAUGGAGCGAGUACAGCCGUUUGGAGGCAUCCCUGCCACGGACUGGGUGGUCGAACACUUUCCUCAUCUCGCUUGUGAAGUCGCUGUAGGUCUGGGUGUAUGGACUCUGUCGUUCCCAGAUGGCUGACGCCCAUUUCAGCGCGUCGCCUCGGAGUAAGCCUAUCACAAAGGCGAUCCUGGACUUCUCUGUGGGGUAGGUGCGGGGUUGUUGAUCGAAUACGAGGCCGCAUUGCAACAGAAAGGAACGACAGAGCCCCAUAUCUCCGUCAUAUCUUUCGGGCGUGGGAACCCAUGGUUCCCUAUCAGGGCAUGGAGCAGGUGCUGGCGCCGGGGGUUCUGGUGCGGGUGCUGAAGCAGGAGCCGGGGGCUCGGCGGAUGCAUUGAGUCGCUCCUGGAUAGCCGCCACGCUGGUAGACAGGCUUUGCAGGCCAGUCAUUAUCUCCUGAAGCGAGGUGCUGUGGUGUCCUAAUAGGGUGCCCUGCAUCGACACAGCCUGACGGACGGCAUCCAGAUCCGCUGGGUUCAUGAUGGCCGGAUCGUUCUGUCAGAUCUGAAAGGAACCCAAACGCAGACUGGAUGAGUGCGGUGAAACUCAAUUUAAUAUGAGGGUAGUCGUGGGCAAGCAGAGGUUCGGUACACGGGCUGGCGGCAGAGGUACAGACAGGGAGUAAGCAGAGUAGUCUUGGACAGGCAGGAGGUUGGCACACGGGCUGGCGGCAGAGGUACAGACAGGGAGUAAGCAGAGUAGUCUUGGACAGGCAGGAGGUCGAUACACGGGCUGGUAAAGGUAGUCAGGAGAUUCCUACAAACACAGGGAAACAGAAUUAGUAGGAUCGACACGCAAGUAUUUUAGGGAUUCGGUUG
ensembl:lncRNA